GCUAAAAUAGUUUAAUUCAAGAAUUUGUAACUUGUAAUUACAAGGUUAUUUUAGCA
rnacentral:tRNA from 1 species